UAUGUGGAGAUUGGAGUAGAGGUUCUAUCUUCUAGGUUCAAGUAUCGGUAAAAUUUUCUCGUUGUGCUGAAAAGAUUUCCCAGUAGAACUGUUUUUUUCCCUGUUAAUAGUUGUUGAUAUAUGUACUGACAAACUAGUUAGUGUUGGAGAGAAUGGAGAGUUGUUCUGUCUCGAUGCAUAUCUGGUACCCUUGAAUAAAAUUGUGCUGACCAGAAGAGAAACCACGAAAUGACUAUAUUCCUAUAAAGUUUCAAAUUGCAGCCGUGAUCGCAAUUAUUUUUUUUUUGUAGAGGAGUUGUGAUCGCAGUUAUGUCAUAAUUCUUGAUAUUGCAGAAAAUUACAGAUAAAUGCGGAUCAUGCAACUGCAAUUGUGGCCACAACGCGGUCAUGGGAACCCCAAAAACCUAGAUGUGGUAGACUGCAAUUUAAAACUAUGAUCCCAUAACAAAUUCAACUUGUCAAGGGUGAUUACCCUUGUAAAUGCAGGGUAUACCUUUUCAAAAACACAAAAUCCCAUAAACUGCACACUGUCACAAGAUGUUAUGUUCUUGCUAAAACCUCAAAAACCAGUUUGUAGAAAAAUUAAUCCAAUGAACUAGUACACAUCAAUGCUACUAAAACAACAAAAAUUCUAAAUCUAUCCUGCGGCUAAGCAAUGGAGAAUUCUAAAUCAUUAGUAAUUUUGUAUGAAUCCUAUUGAUUAAAGCUAUCAAACAAAAACUCUUUGACCUUAGAAAGAGCUUUAGAAUUUCAAUAUGGCAUAUCCAAGACAAUCUCUCUCUGUAGGAGCGUUCAGAGGAAACUGUAAGCAAGUUUUGCAGGAAAAAACUUUAGUUGAAUUGAGGUUUUAAAUUCUGAUUUCAAAUGAAAUUAUAAUAACAUGAAAUAAAUGAAUUAUAACAAUUCAGCAAUCUUUAACUUUCAUUGGAUGCUCAGGUUUUUUGUUUGGGUCUUAACCCACUGACGAAAUGUUUCUAUGUUGCAGGGUCGCUCUUAUAGUCAUCCUACUUGUGAUAGCAUAUGUCGUGUUGGCUUUUGUUUGCCAUGGGCCUGCAUUACCGUCUUGCUUCUAGUGAAAGGUUGGAGAGUGAGUUUAUGUGUGAUUUUAUACCGUCUCCGGCUUGCAAAGGUUGCUUCUUGUGGUGCAGACUCCCGUUUGUUUCAAUUUCAAUUGCUGGGCUGUCAACGUGUGUGCUGUGAAUUCCUUGCUACAGAUUCCUGGUGUUUUGGGUUGUAGUUAUUACGAGGUUUGAGGGAAAAAUAUUGUGCAUCAUGUCUUUUUAUGUAUUAUCAUACCACCCCAAAAAAUCUUAUAUGUAUUAUCAUACCAACCCCAAAAAAUGGAGUGAACCGGAACAUGAUUGCGAUUUUGAGUUAUUUAAAGUGUUACUAUUAUAGCUUGGUAUAGUCAUCAUCGUUCCCUUCUCUUUUUGUUCAAGAGGAUUAAGGGUAAACUUUUAUUUCAUGUAUCCCUUCGUAGCUCAAUGAAGGGAGAUUGUUUAGCUUCGCUUGCCCCAUUGUUAUAUAUUUAUAUUUGCAAAGGUUCCUUUUUGUUUUGGUUUUCUGCAGUGAAAUACAGUAUUAUCUUAUGACCAAGUGAUGCCUAGUUUUAAUGACCCAAACAGCUGUGAUUGCGGUUUGUAAGAAACUUUUUCUUCAAUUCAAUGUACUUACCAAGUGGCAUAAGAUUUGAUAAUCAGCAGCAACAUUUCUGAUUAUUUAAUGGUUUGAAAAUUAAUGUCGGUUUUGUCUUUUUAUCAUGUUACAAAAAAUAUUGAAGUUCUAUGGCAUUGUAUGCAUGUACUUAAAAGGGAGUACAAGGGAAGUCCCAUUGCCCCUUUUUUUCACCUUAUCUAGUUUGUGUCAAGUUCUAUAGCAUUAUAUGCAUGUACUUAAAAGUGUCCUAACACCUUGACAAUUGAAGCCGU
rnacentral:lncRNA from 1 species